rnacentral:piRNA from 1 species
UAGAUAGAAUGGAACUUUACC